rnacentral:rRNA from 1 species
UACGUAGGGGGCAAGCGUUAUCCGGAUUUACUGGGUGUAAAGGGAGCGCAGGCGGCAGGGCAAGUCUGAUGUGAAAACCCGGGGCUCAACCCCGGGAUUGCAUUGGAAACUGUUCAGCUUGAGUGUCGGAGAGGUAAGCGGAAUUCCUAGUGUAGCGGUGAAAUGCGUAGAUAUUAGGAGGAACACCAGUGGCGAAGGCGGCUUACUGGACGAUAACUGACGCUGAGGCUCGAAAGCGUGGGGAGCAAAC